rnacentral:rRNA from 1 species
UUGAACGCUAGCGGCAUGCUUUACACAUGCAAGUCGAACGGCAGCGCGGGGGCAACCCUGGCGGCGAGUGGCGAACGGGUGAGUAAUGCAUCGGAACAUGCCCAUCGAUGGGGGAUAACUGCGCGAAAGCGUUGCUAAUACCGCAUACGACCUGAGGGUGAAAGCAGGGGACCGCAAGGCCUUGCGUCGAUGGAGUGGCCGAUGUCGGAUUAGCUAGUUGGUGGGGUAAAGGCCUACCAAGGCGACGAUCCGUAGCUGGUCUGAGAGGACGACCAGCCACACUGGGACUGAGACACGGCCCAGACUCCUACGGGAGGCAGCAGUGGGGAAUCUUGGACAAUGGGGGCAACCCUGAUCCAGCAAUGCCGCGUGCGGGAAGAAGGCCUUCGGGUUGUAAACCGCUUUUGGCAGGGAAGAAAUUGUCCGUGCUAAUACCAUGGAUAGAUGACGGUACCUGCAGAAUAAGCACCGGCUAACUACGUGCCAGCAGCCGCGGUAAUACGUAGGGUGCGAGCGUUAAUCGGAAUUACUGGGCGUAAAGCGUGCGCAGGCGGUUGGGAAAGAUCGAUGUGAAAUCCCCGGGCUUAACCUGGGAAUUGCAUUGAUGACUAUCCGACUAGAGUACGGUAGAGGGGAGUGGAAUUCCGCGUGUAGCAGUGAAAUGCGUAGAUAUGCGGAGGAACACCGAUGGCGAAGGCAGCUCCCUGGACCUGUACUGACGCUCAUGCACGAAAGCGUGGGGAGCAAACAGGAUUAGAUACCCUGGUAGUCCACGCCCUAAACGAUGUCAACUGGUUGUUGGACGGGCAACUGUUCAGUAACGAAGCUAACGCGUGAAGUGACCGCC